rnacentral:rRNA from 1 species
AUUGAACGCUGGCGGCAGGCCUAACACAUGCAAGUCGAACGAGUGGCGGACGGGUGAGUAAUGUCUGGGAAACUGCCCGAUGGAGGGGGAUAACUACUGGAAACGGUAGCUAAUACCGCAUACCAUCGGAUGAGCCCAGAUGGGAUUCGCUAGUUGGUGGGGUAACGGCUCACCUAGGCGACGAUCCCUAGCUGGUCUGAGAGGAUGACCAGCCACACUGGAACUGAGACACGGUCCAGACUCCUACGGGAGGCAGCAGUGGGGAAUAUUGCACAAUGGGCGCAAGCCUGAUGCAGCCAUGCCGCGUGAAUGAAGAAGGCCUUAGGGUUGUAAAGUACUUUCAGCGGGGAGGCGUUAACCGCAGAAGAAGCACCGGCUAACUCCGUGCCAGCAGCCGCGGUAAUUC